rnacentral:ncRNA from 2 species
CAGGUCGAGGGGCGCUGCAACGGGCCGGAGGUCCGCCACGCUCGGCUGGAACCACUCCGUAAGGGCGCCUCCCGUCA